rnacentral:snRNA from 1 species
AGGGUGAGGCCUGCCCCUUGCACUCUGGGCAUGCUGACCCCUGUGAUUUACCCAAAUGUGGGAAACUCG